rnacentral:tRNA from 1 species
GGAGAGGUGGCCGAGUGGUUGAAGGCGCGCGCCUCGAAAGCGUGUGUACCUUAACGGGUACCGGGGGUUCGAAUCCCUCCCUCUCCGCCA